rnacentral:tRNA from 1 species
AAAUAAGAAACAAAAAUUGUGAUUAGUUUCGACCUAAUUCUUGAUGAUAAAUCCAUCCUUAUUUU